rnacentral:rRNA from 1 species
GUCCACGCCGUAAACGAUGAUAACUAGUUGUCCGUGCACUUGGUGCUUGGGUGACGCAGCUAACGCAUUAAGUUAUCCGCCUGGGGAGUACGGUCGCAAGAUUAAAACUCAAAGGAAUUGACGGGGGCCUGCACAAGCGGUGGAGCAUGUGGUUUAAUUCUAAGCAACGCGCAGAACCUUACCAGCCUUUGACAUCCCGCGCUAUCCUGAGAGAUCAGGGGUUCCCUUCGGGACGCGGUGACAGGUGCUGCAUGGCUGUCGU